rnacentral:rRNA from 1 species
CAGGUCUCCGUAGGUGAACCUGCGGAGGGAUCAUUA